UUUGUAGAUUGUAUUACUGGUGAAGAUUGUGGUGAGAGAGAAAUUUUAAGGAAUAAUUUAUUGAAAAAGCCACAAGGAGAAGAGCCAAGAGUGACACGUGGAGGAGUCCCAGAGGCUUAGUGGUAUAGAUCCACUGUCUCUUUUGGGUAUUUAAUUUAUGAUUUAUAAUGUGUUAUAUUGCCAAUAUUAGGACUUUUUUAUGUUUAUUGUCAAUUAUAUGAAUAUAUAAAUGUAAUCAUGCCUUUCAAACUAUUUCUAUUUUUGGUACAAUUUGGAUGACUGUAAUUUUAAUAUUUGGUUUACUUUGGAUUGGUUAAAAUGGCAUGAUUAUAAGGCCAAAUAACUGGCUUGUGUUGAAAAUUGACUAAA